AACGAACGCUGGCGGCAUGCCCAACACAUGCCAGUCGAACGAGACCUUCGGGUCUAGUGGCGCACGGGUGCGUAACGCGUGGGAACCUGCCCUUAGGUUCGGAAUAACUCCCCGAAAGGGGUGCUAAUACCGGAUAAUGUCUUCGGACCAAAGAUUUAUCGCCUUUGGAUGGGCCCGCGUUGGAUUAGCUAGUUGGUAGGGUAAAAGCCUACCAAGGCGACGAUCCAUAGCUGGUCUGAGAGGAUGAUCAGCCACACUGGGACUGAGACACGGCCCAGACUCCUACGGGAGGCAGCAGUGGGGAAUAUUGGACAAUGGGCGAAAGCCUGAUCCAGCAAUGCCGCGUGAGUGAUGAAGGCCUUAGGGUUGUAAAGCUCUUUUACCCGGGAUGAUAAUGACAGUACCGGGAGAAUAAGCUCCGGCUAACUCCGU
rnacentral:rRNA from 1 species